UCCUUUUUGAGUGAUCCUCAGCUCGACACAGAGAAUUUCCUUCCCUGAAGAUCUUCAUUGAUCCCUGCGUCAGAGAGCCGACUCCCACCAAACACUGCACUUGCUUAAGACAACCAAUCACUCUGCUAACUGAAGAAAGAGAAAUAUGAAGCUUUCCAUGUUCUUGCUGGUGGUGUUCGCUGUCACCGUGCUCUGUGUGGAUUACGAACAUGUUAAGAAGUUCAAAAACCAGCAUAUCAUCGA